GACGAACGCUGGCGGCGUGCCUAAUACAUGCAAGUAGAACGCUGAAGGAGGAGCUUGCUUCUCCGGAUGAGUUGCGAACGGGUGAGUAACGCGUAGGUAACCUGCCUGGUAGCGGGGGAUAACUAUUGGAAACGAUAGCUAAUACCGCAUAAGAGUAGAUGUCGCAUGACAUUUGCUUAAAAGGUGCAACUGCACCACUACCAGAUGGACCUGCGUUGUAUUAGCUAGUUGGUGAGGUAACGGCUCACCAAGGCAACGAUACAUAGCCGACCUGAGAGGGUGAUCGGCCACACUGGGACUGAGACACGGCCCAGACUCCUACGGGAGGCAGCAGUAGGGAAUCUUCGGCAAUGGACGGAAGUCUGACCGAGCAACGCCGCGUGAGUGAAGAGGGUUUUCGGAUCGUAAAGCUCUGUUGUAAGAGAAGAACGAGUGUGAGAGUGGAAAGUUCACACUGUGACGGUAUCUUACCAGAAAGGGACGGCUAACUACGUG
rnacentral:rRNA from 1 species